rnacentral:rRNA from 1 species
UACGAAGGGGGCGAGCGUUGUUCGGAUUUACUGGGCGUAAAGGGCGCGUAGGCGGCGGGUUCAAGUCGAGUGUGAAAGCCCCGGGCUCAACCUGGGAGGUGCGCUCGAGACUGGUCUGCUAGAGUUCGGGAGAGGGAGCGUGGAAUUCCCGAGUGUAGAGGUGAAAUUCGUAGAUAUUGGGAAGAACACCGGUGGCGAAGGCGGCGCUCUGGACCGAGACGUGACGCUGAGGCGCGAAAGCGUGGGGAGCAAACAGGGAUUAAGAAACCCU